CUAUUUGAAUAUAAUAAAAACAUUAAAUAAAAUAUUCUAUUUUCUUAAAACACAAUAUUUUCAAAGUCUUCCUAAAAUAACUUUUGUAGCGUAAGAGUAAAAUAAAUUUAUUCAUAUAGUAAUAAAGAUAAUUAAAGUAUGAAAUUUCGUUUACAGUGACACGUGGGCCCCCAACUAACCAAGAAAGUGUAGAGCUACGAACCCUUACUUCCUAUGAUGCAACUCCGAGAUUAAUUCUCGUCUUAAUCAACUAUCAACAAACUGUCCUGAGCCUGAAAAAUGGAUAGGAAGAGGGGUGAGAUUAAAUAAUCCCAGUGAGUAAACAAUUACCAUCAAAAGCAUCUAAAGCCGAGUAGAUGGAGACAAUAUAAAAACGUUAUAUCUCAAUAAUGUUCAUAACACAAAAUUCGUUUCAAUCUAUACCAAAUAAUUUCUUUUCAUCAAAAUUUCCCCGACUUAUGAAUUUUUUUAAACUUGGCCCCUGCCAAUAUCAUUCUCGCGGGUACCUUCGUCAAGGUAUCCCACUGAGACCGCCAAGGCUGUUCAAUGACCCAUACCCAUAAACAUGUUUUCACAUCUGACACACAGCCGUUCCUUGGCGUUGGCUGAGUCUCACUCUCACGUGGUGGCCCGAACGUGAGGUGCACUCAAAUCAUACCUCAGGAGAUACUUCACCCAACAUCUCCCCCCGGAGGUAAGUAUAUAAUUGAGUUACCGUGCCCCUCUCAUAGGCAGUCCACGGAAACCCCCACCACUGCAGUGACCGUUUAAUAUACCACCAGACCCAUAAAAAUUCCAGUAGCAUAAUAUGGCGAAUAAAAUGUAAUCCAGUCUACCGAGACCAAUCCAAAACUGUUCAUAUAUUUCAUGCCAACCCAAAAAAAUUAGCCAUUAUGCUACCAUAGUGUCAUAAGCCACAAUUUCAAUAACAUAUAAAAUCAUAAAUUUCAACACAGUCUCCAUAUACUCAAUUUUCCCAAAACAAUAUUUGAUUUCAAAACCAGUAUAAAUCUCAUUUUUAUUAAAAAACAUUUUAAUUGGAAAACAUAAUAUUUUAUAAUUUAAAUUCACCAUUCAAUAAAAGCAUCAAACAAGUAUAAUUACUCUAGAUAUUUAAGACGAUAAAUUGUCCACUCACAGUUCUAGGAGUCGAUGUACUCCUAAUCUCAGUCUUCAAGCACAAUUUCUGUACUUUUACCAGUGUAAUUUGCUCACCACCUAUCCACAAUGUACAAUACAUAAUUCACCACAUCAAUGCUUGACCAUUAUAAAAUCAAUUCAGGCUCGGUAUAUAUGCAUGAUAUGACAUGCAACUUAUC
rnacentral:lncRNA from 1 species